rnacentral:lncRNA from 1 species
AUCAUAAUUAACUAAUGGAAAAGAGGAUUAGCAUUGUGAUUAGCAUGGAGUAUAAAUAGGAAAACCCUAAUCACAACUGCAAUAACAACCAAUUUCAGAUCAAAAUUCAAGAACUCUCUCAAAAUUCUCUCUCUUUGAUUUUCAUUUUUCUCCAUAUAAAGCUCAAAGAUCUUUGCAUAUUCAUGAUCCUCAUGCUUCACUGAGCAAGAAUCAUUCAUUGUUUGGAGCAAUUCAG